UACGGAGGGUGCGAGCGUUAAUCGGAAUUACUGGGCGUAAAGGGCACGCAGGCGGGCUUUUAAGUGAGAUGUGAAAGCCCCGGGCUUAACCUGGGAAUAGCAUUUCAGACUGGGAGGCUAGAGUACUGUAGGGGGGGGUAGAAUUCCAUGUGUAGCGGUGAAAUGCGUAGAGAUGUGGAGGAAUACCGAUGGCGAAGGCAGCCCCUUGGACAUAGACUGACGCUCAUGUGCGAAAGCGUGGGGAGCAAACAGG
rnacentral:rRNA from 1 species